rnacentral:rRNA from 1 species
CUGGGUUUGACAUACCGAGAAAUCCUCCAGAGAUGGUGGGUCCGUAAGGGUUCGGUACAGGUGGUGCAUGGCUGUCGUCAGCUCGUGUCGUGAGAUGUUGGGUUAAGUCCCGCAACGAGCGCAACCCUCGUUCCAUGUUGCCAGCAACACGAUCCUUGCCUUCGGGUGGGGGGAGUGGUUGGGGACUCAUGGGAGACUGCCGGGGUCAACUCGGAGGAAGGUGGGGAUGACGUCAAGUCAUCAUGCCCCUUAUGUCCAGGGCUUCGCGCAUGCUACAAUGGCCGGUACAAAGGGCUGCGAUCCCGUGAGGGGGAGCGAAUCCCAAAAAGCCGGUCUCAGUUCGGAUUGGGGUCUGCAACUCGACCCCAUGAAGUCGGAGUCGCUAGUAAUCGCAGAUCAGCAACGCUGCGGUGAAUACGUUCCC